ensembl:lncRNA
CGGAAAUCAAAACGUAGUUACAAAAAAAAGUUUAGAAAUGCGGAAAUAAAAACGUAGUUAUAAAAAAAAGUUCCCCAAAAACGUCGAUACUGUGUUGAAGACGAGCAGCUGCUGAACCCAGCUAUCAAAAGCGUAUUCUCCGUAGUGUAAAUGUAACCGACUGAGUAGGCAUAGUUAUAUAGCUCCUGUCACCCAAUGGCAGGCCUUCAAUGUGUUAAGGUUUCAGUCAAGUAGAGAAGAAUCGCUUUGAAAAAAUGAAAGAUUUCAUCCAAAGACACAGAGCGCCACAGCAAGCGAUGCCUGUACAAAAACCAAUGGAGUCUUUCCAACUGUGGUACACAUACCCCCACUGUCCUGAGCUAAAAGAGAUCAGAGACAUGGAUCCUGCUACCAACACCGUUGAAGACCUGAUGCUAAGGAUCUGCCACCAAGAGGGCAUUGAGAACUCUAAAACUGUGUGCCUCUACACAGUUGAUGGAAUGCCUCUAACUGAUGAUCCUUUCUUCAACACAUGGUCUUUGAAAGACAGGCACAUUGAAAUUGGAAGUGAGCUCUAUGCCAUGUUUACACCCAAGGAGAACUUGAGACCAGCCCUGCUAGUGACACUACAAGAAAUGACUGACAUGACAGGAGAGGAUAAUGUUCGAUGCCACAUCAUGCUCAAGGGAGACUUUGAGGUCAAGGUGGACUUGGCAAGUGACACAUUACGAGAUCUGAGACAGAAGCUCUCUGAUGAAAGUGGAAUCCCAGCACAUGUCCUCCAUUAUAAAUGUGAACGAUGUGGAGUUGGACAGACUUUGCUAGAUUGUGGAAUCAAUGAGGAGUCAACUGUGGUCUUUUCUCUGUCCUCCUUCCCUGAUGAGCGUCCAGACACUAUGGAAUUCUACUUCAAUGAUGUCGUACCCUCAGUGCAACAAUCCCAGAAAGGACUCAGUGCUUUCUUUUCUUCACUUUAUGCCAUUAACAAUAGAGAACACCGUUCUGGAGAUGUAUUAAGCAAAGUGAUUGCAUACAUCCGAAAGCUCAGUGGGUGCAAUCCUUUGGCCCAAAGUCUGCAUCAGCUGUUGUAUAGAAAUGAGGUUGGAACAAGGACCCAGAAGGUUGCUAUCGUUGAAGGAUUGUACAAUCUCUUCAGAGAGCUGUUGCCAAGCUUCCACAAAAGAAGAGGUGACAAAAUCAUUGAAGACUCAGAUGUUUUUGAGAAUGCACCAGUGUGCUGGGCCUACCUGUUAUCUGAAGCAAAGAAAGAGAGUUCACAACAUGAGGUCUAUGUACCAAUAGUCUUGAACUCUCAACCUGGAGAACGUUUCUGCGACCCAGUUCGAGUACCUGGGUUACCAGAUGUCUUUGAGAGAGAGUAUGUUCUGCAGAAAAUCAAAGAUGGAGAGAAAAUCCCAAACUGCUCUGUGGAGAUCCUGACAGAUACUUCAAUGUCUAGAGCCUCUGAUGUUGAAAAGAUUUUGCUCAGUCUGCCUCCAUUCAUCAAAACAUUCCCUAAGUGGGCUUCAUCUGGACUUGUGACUGGCCAAAAUUUUCAGAUUGUUCUCGAUGACACAUUUGCCAAGAUGAACGAAGAAGUGAAAGAAUACGUUAAUCUGACAGUGACUCCAGCAUUACAGUUGAAGGAUGUUGGAGUAUAUGGGCCACGUCUCGUCUUCUUG